rnacentral:lncRNA from 1 species
UUUUUUUUUCUGGAUAGCAGAUUCGUGCCCGCCGUCCCCGCCUCCUCGAGUGUUGUUUAGAUGAAUCCUUUGGUAUAAUUGCGUGGAAGUGAGUCUAUAAUGAACCUACAAAAAUUCGUCGUGUUCCGAUGGAGGAAUCUCCGGUGAUCUACGAUAUACCGGAGCCCUGUCAAAUCUGGAAGUGAAUCUGGAGGAGUUUAGGGCCAUGAGUCCGCAAUCAGCUCGGGCAUCAUUUGGAAGAUCCAACCGUCCAUCUGCUGCGGAAUUCCUAUAUCAACCACCUCUCAAAAUUUCAAAUCAAUCUGACCGUUCAAACUCUAUGAACGGCCUAAGGACUGCGUCAAUUUUUGGAUCUGUUUUCUACGUGAAAACGAAUCCGACCCGAGUUCAUCUUUCUCGAUGAACAUGAAAUUAGACAUCCUUUCUAAAGGAAGUUUUUUUCUUGGGUAUUGUGUGUUUUUCUUAAACAUGUGCCUACAAAAUUUGUGCCUUUUACGAGGCAAUCUCCACCGUCAUGCCGGCAUUAAACCGGCCCGACCUCGUUGCUCCACGGAUGCCGAACUAGGCUAGACGGGUCGUCCCUCCGUCAAGCUGUCGUCAACCACAUCAGAUCAUCACCUCGGCGAGUCGACCAAGAGUUCGGCAUCGCAAAGGCCAAAUAAUUGUCAAGACAACAUCGUCGCCCGACGGGUUGCACGGAUCAUGAGCGGGAGGAUUGACCCGCGGUCAAUUCAUCAAGCCAGCAUUGACCAGUUCCGACCUAUGUCGGCAUCGCCACGCCGUUGCUUCUUCAAGACGAUACCCACCACGCUGACCUGCUUCGACACCUCGGCUGGCAUGGGGGCUGCAACGUCACCUUACCGACCUGCUCCAUCACCUUGGCUAGACUGGGGGCUUCGCCAUCGCUUCAUCGACAUACGCCGAGGACUUUGGCGUCGCUAGCCAACCAACUUCGUCACGUCAGCUGGACCGGGGGUUUUGCCUCACCAUAUCAAUUGUGCGGCGUCGCCACUUCGUCAAGCCGAGCUCUUUGCCCGAGCACCUCGGGACCGGCUUGAGGGCUGGGACCUCGAUCUGCCACAAGCUCGGCCCACAUCAGCAACGCCAAGCACAUUAAUCAGCUAAAUCACUUCCAUGCUCAACUUUUUUUGUUCAGUUCAUCCAAGCAUUAUAUUUGUGUUAAACAAAAAGUUGUCAAAAACUUUGUUUGUUAAAAACACUUCUUUUUCCCGUGUUAACUGUGGCCUCUUAAAUUUUUAUGAGCCAUUUUUAUAAUAAAUGUGCUUUCUUCUAAGUCAUUGGAAAGUCUUUUUCUACUACUCAUUUUUCCGACACGGGUGUGUGGGCAAUAGCCGGAUAGCCUAGUUUCUCUCUAAAGCCGCUCGAGUUUAGUUUGCUAAACUAGCCCGAGAAGCAUUCUGCCUUCGGGAUAGGAGGUUGAAGCCGAAGGCUGACCCGCUUGAAGUUUCGAGAUCGAAUGUAUCAUGUUAAAGCACGACGGAAGCACAAACUAAUCUUAAGACCCAUUUUCGGAUUGGCACCAAAAAUUUGUUUAGUUCGGACGUGAAGUUUUUACUAAAGUUUUUUGGUUUAGCGAGAUUAUGUCACCUUUAACCUAUUUUAUGUUUCCCUUUCAGGAGGCGAGAAAUCCUCUUGAUCAACGUGUUUUGCGUGAUAUUUUUGCUCGCGAAAUAUUUUCUGACCCGGAGUUCGGCAUCCUUCCCGCCGAGCUGCACCUCGGCGUUGUCAAAACAUACACCACAGUUGAACUAGUUCCCGAGGAGAUACGAUCCUAGGGUCAUCCAUGUUGCCCAACCCAAGUCUCCGGGGUUAUUGCAUUGGCGAUUCAAUGCAGAAAAUUUAAGUGCAAAAUAGUUUUCUAGAAGAUUACAAUUCUCAGGUUGGUCGGUUGCACCCAACCUGAGCCUCCAGGACUAUGCACACCGUGUUUCCGAGGAAAAAGUGCUGGAAUUUUGUCUAUUUUGGGCCUAGCCCAAUAGCAGUUUCGGAAAUUCCUAAUAAAUCCUAGAGGCCCACGCAGCCCAUUCGUGCAAGGCAAGAGGUGGAACUAAAGUUUAGUCCCACAUUGCUAGUUUAGAGGGAGUUGGACCUCUUUAUAAGGGAGGCUCCUUCCCCACUUGUAUGAGCAUGAGAACAAGAGGGACAUCCACGCGCGCUCCUCCUCUGCCGCCCGCCUCGCCACGCCACGCCUCGUCACGACGCGCCACGGGUUGCGGGUUGCGGGAAUGAGCCGAGCCGAUGUAAAUUUUUGCCAUGCACUACGGGUAUACGAAAGGGCACGCGAAAGCUGAAACGCUUUGCUGUAGUGGAGAUUGAAUACGAACGGUGCACCUCUUCGCAUGCUGCCUGUUCGUUUCGUCUCCCUCGUUCUCUUCAGCUCCCAGCGCAGCCUCUCACCUCCUUCUCUUGCGCCUAUAAAAGGGAGGUCGCUCCUCCCAGAGAGACGCACCAGAAUCUCUUCCUCCUCUCGCCACAAGUUCCUGAGCACUGCGCCGCUGCUACGUUCUUCCCCAUCCCGGCUUGCGGCGUGCACCGCAGGUCGGAACAGUAGGCCUCCGAAACCGCACCUUUUGAGUCAUGUACAGAGAAGGGUGAUAAGGUUUUUGGGGAGCGCUCUGCGCGACUACUGACUUCUUCGUCACGGACGCCCCGGACUCCGACGACUACUUCCCCGACGACGACUACUUCCCCGAUGUCGACUACCUCCUCGACGACAUGGAGGACACCGACCCCAAGUCCAGUGCCUCUGCCCCGGCUGCUGUCCAGUACGUGUUCUUAUCUUUCAUGUUAGAAGUCCUGCAAUAGUUCCUUCUUCUAAUGUUUGAAGUAGACAUGUUAUGCUCUACUUCAUAUAUGCAUCUUCAUCUACUAUCUGCUCUAGAGUUGAUUGGUUCUAGCUCAUAUAUGCAAAUAUUAUUUACUUUCUCUUUUUAAAAUCACAUGGCUUGUUUUAUCACUGCUAUACUAGUCAUGCUUUAUCUAGUAUUUCUGUUAAUAAAAUCAUUCGGUAAAUUGCUCAUAUUUCCAACAAUCCAAAAACCUUAUUAUAGGCAAUUUUUGACCUCCUAUGUUUGAGGGUAUCCACUAUAAGAGGUGGCGCGUGAGAGCAGUCUUAUGGUUUCAAACCACGAGUUGCUAUGACGCCACUCUUGGCAAACCCGAAGGAGAGCAAGAUGCCCAAUAGGCACAAGCUUUUCAGAAAAUGGAUACCUUGUUUAAGGCUGCUCUCUUGAGUGUUCUUGGUGAGAACAUUGUUGAUGCUUAUGCGUCAAUUGACAAUGGAAAAGACAUGUGGGACGCACUCGAGGCCAAGUUUGGGGUCUCGGAUGCCGGCACUGAGCUGUACAUCAUGGAGCAAUUCUAUGAUUACAGGAUGACUGAAGAGCGCUCCGUGGUUGAGCAGGCUCAUGAGAUACAGUCAUUUGCUAGAGAACUUGAGCACUUCAAUUGUAUCUUACCGGACAAGUUUGUUGCCGGGGGUAUCAUCACUAAGCUUCCUCCUUCGUGUAGGAACUUUGCUACCUUACUGAAGCAUAAGAGACAUGAGUUUUCCGUCCCGGAUCUCACUGGUACUCUUGAUGUGGAAGAAAAGGCGAGAGCAAAGGACACACGUGCUAGAGGUAUUGAGGGAUGAUCUAGAGCCAAUCUGGUACAGAAGAAAAACUUCCAGUCCCACAAGUUCAAGAACAAGGGCAAGUUUGAUGGUAAAGAAAAGUUCGAUGGGAAGAACAAGGCUGUGCAGCACACAAACUUCAAGAAGAAGAAUGACAAGAAGAAAGGUGCUUGUCAUGUGUGUGGAGAUCCUGAUCAUUGGGCUCCUAGUUGUCCUAAUCGCUAUGACAAGCGUCAUCUUGGGAAAGGCGGCAAGACCGCUAAUGUUGUCAUCGGAGACAUUGACAUGAAGGACGCUGGGUAUGGUAUAUUUCCCACUAUUCUUUCAGUAUGUCAUUCUCCUAAUUGGUUGAUUGACACGGGUGCUAAUGUGCAUGUAUGCGGUGAUAUUUCCAUGUUUUCGUCUUAUCAGACCGCAGGGACUUCAACCGUGCUGAUGGGCAAUGGUUCAAGUGCUUCUGUUCAUGGUAUUGGCACGGUCGAUCUAAAGUUUACUUCGGGGAAGAUCGUGCGGCUGAAGAACGUGCAUUAUGUCCCCUCCGUCAAUAAAAAUCUUGUUAGCGGAUCUCUUCUGUGUACAGAUGGCUAUAAGCUUGUCUUUGAGUCGAAUAAAUUUGUAAUAUCCAAGUAUGGAACCUUUGUUGGUAAAGGCUAUGAGUCAGGAGGCCUAUUUCGUUUAUCCUUAUCAGAUGUUUGCAAUAAAGUUGUUAAUCAUAUUUGCAACAAUAGUGAAUCAAAUGUGUGGCAUUCACGUCUUUGUCAUGUUAACUUUGGUUGCAUGUCGCGACUAGCGAAGUUGAACUUAAUCCCUAGUUUCACCACUGUCAAGGGAUCUAAGUGUCAAGUGUGUGUGCAAGCUAAGCAACCUCGUAAGUCUCACGUGACUGCGGAGACGAGAAAUCUUGCACCACUAGAACUUAUACAUUCAGAUCCAUGUGAAAUGAAUGGUGUUUUGACAAAAGGUGGAAAGAAAUAUUUCAUGACGUUAAUUGAUGACUCCACUAGAUAUUGCCGUGUGUAUCUUCUGAAAUCUAAGGAUGAGGCUUUGAACUUCUUCAAGAUCUAUAAAGCUGAAGUGGAAAACCAACUUGAUCGAAAAAUCAAGAGGCUUAGGUCCGACCGUGGUGGAGAGUAUUUUUUCAAUGAAUUUGAUGCUUUUUGUGCGGAACAUGGUAUAAUCCAUGAGAGGACGCCUCCCUACUCACCUCAAUCAAAUGGGGUGGCCGAAAGAAAGAACCAUACUCUAACUGAUUUGGUUAACGCCAUGUUAGAUACAGCGGGUCUCUCCAAGGCAUGGUGGGGGGAGGCGAUAUUGACUGCAUGUCAUGUCCUAAACCGAGUUCCCACAAAGAACAAAGAGAUAACUCCAUUCGAGGAAUAGGAGAAGAAAAGGUUAAAUCUCUCUUAUCUACGAACCUGGGGUUGUUUGACGAAAGUCAAUGUGCCAAUUCCAAAGAAGCGGAAGCUGGGACCAAAAACUAUGGAUUGUGUUUUCCUGGGAUAUGCUUUUCAUAGCAUUGGCUAUAGAUUCUUGGUUGUAAAAUCUGAGGUACCUGACAUGCAUGUCGGUACGAUCAUGGAGUCGAAUGAUGCGACUUUCUUUGAAGAUAUCUUUCCCAUGAAGGAUAUGGCUACCUCAUCUAAUCAGGAGAUGCCUAGUUCAUCGAAUCAGGAACCAGUUACAAUUACCGAACCUGCCAUUUCGAUGGAACACUUUGAAAGUCCUGUGGAGGGAAACAAUGAAGUUCCUACUAGGAGCAAGAGACAGAGGACUGUAAAGUCCUUUGGUGAUGAUUUUCUUGUGUAUCUCAUAGAUGACACUCCCAGUUCUAUUUCGGAGGCCUAUGCAUUGGAAGAUCUGACUACUGGAAGGAAGCGGUUCGUAGCGAGAUGGAUUCCAUCUUGGCGAAUGAAACUUGGAAGAUAACUUAUCGUCCUUAUGGGUGCAAACCUAUAGGAUGCAAAUGGGUAUUCAAGAAGAAGCUUAGGCCUGAUGGUACUAUUGAAAAGUACAAGGCUCGGCUCGUGGCAAAGGGUUAUACCCAAAAGGAAGGUGAAGACUUCUUUGAUACUUACUCACAUGUGGCUCGACUGACCACUAUUCGAGUUCUACUUUCACUAGCUGCCUCACAUGGUCUUUUCGUUCAUCAAAUGGAUGUUCAGACUGCUUUCCUAAAUGGAUAGUUGAAUGAGGAAAUUUAUAUGGAACAACCAGAUGGGUUUGUAAUAGAUGGUCAGGAAGGGAAAAUGUGCAAGUUGCUGAAGUCUUUGUAUGGACUCAAGCAAGCACCCAAACAGGGGCAUGAGAAGUUCGAAAGAACUUUAACAGCUACAGGCUUUGUUGUGAACGAAGCUGACAAAUGUGUGUAUUAUUGCCAUGGUGGGGGCGAGGGAGUUAUGCUUUGCCUGUAUGUUGAUGACAUACUGAUUUUCGGAACAAAUCUGAAUGUUAUUAAGGAGGUCAAGGAUUUCCUAUCUCGCUGUUUUGAGAUGAAGGAUUUAGGAGUGGCUGAUGUCAUUCUGAACAUUAAGUUGUUGAGAGAUGAUGAUGGUGGGAUUACAUUGCUUCAAUCUCACUAUGUGGAAAAGAUCUUGAGUCGCUUUGGCUAUAGUGACUGCAAGCCCUCUCCAACACCAUAUGAUGCUAGCGUGCUGCUUCGAAAGAAUCGAAGAAUUGCUAGAGAUCAAUUGAAGUAUUCUGAGAUUAUUGGCUCACUUAUGUACUUAGCCAGUGCUACAAGACCUGACAUCUCUUUUGUUGUUAGCAAACUGAGUCGGUUUGUUUCAAAACCAGGAGAUGUACAUUGGAAAGCUCUAGAGAGAGUUUUACGUUAUUUGAAAGGCACUGCGAAUUAUGAAAUUCACUACACUGGGCACCCAAAGGUGCUUGAAGGGUAUAGUGACUCAAACUGGAUCUCAGAUGCUGAUGAGAUAAAGGUCACGAGCGGAUAUGUAUUCACUCAUGGAGGUGGCGCUGUUUCUUGGAAGUCUUGCAAGCAGACCAUCUUAACGAGGUCAACAAUGGAAGCAGAACUCACAACACUAGAUACAACUAUGGUCGAAGCAGAUUGGCUUCGUCGGCUCUUGAAUGACUUGCCGGUUGUUGAGAAACCUGUACCGGGUAUCCUUAUGAACUGCGAUAAUCAAACUGUGAUCACGAAAGUGAACAGUUCAAAGGAUAACAUGAAGUCAUCAAGACACGUUCAGAGAAGGUUAAAGUCUGUCAGGAAAAUGAAAAACUCCGAAGUUAUUGCAUUGGAUUAUAUCCAAACGUCUAAAAAUCUGGCUGAUCCUUUUACUAAGGGUCUAUCACGUAAUGUGAUAGAUAAUGCAUCGAGGGAGAUGGGUAUGAGACCCACAAUAUGAGUUGUUCACAGUGGUAACCUAUUCUUUGUGAUUGGAGAUCCCAUGAAUUAGAUGUGGAAGACAAGCUGUUGGUCAACUGUGAGGAGAGUAUCCUUACUGUUAAAAUACCACUCCAUGAAGAUGCAAUACUCUCCUAAUCUGCAUGGCAGGUUGAUGUUUAUCUUAAGGUGUUCUAAGUGGCUCUUUGAAGCAGAGAUGUUGUCCUGCAGAACAUCUUUUGAAGAACGCACCUAUAUGAGUCUGAUUGUUAAACGUCACAAUCUAUGAGAAUAGGGUUCUCUCUAGUAAAAUCAUGAAAGGUCUCGGAGUAUGACGCAUAAGCUCCACCCGCGGGGAAGACCCACGGUAGCCACGUAUCGGUCAAGGCUUUAUGUGAAGCUAGAUUCACAGAAAACUUGCAGUUCAAGGCCCAUUCCACUGUGCAAGUUGCUUACUAGUGUAGCAUAGAGUUCUAGGUGAAAGUUCAACUUAUCAGUCUCCACUGCAGUACCGGUAUAUAAAACAGUGUUUUGGAACCAAAGGCAAAUUUUGUGUGCCUCUGGGAUCUGGUGGGGGAUUGCUGGAAUUUUGUCUAUUUUGGGCCUAGCCCAAUAGCAGUUUCAGAAAUUCCUAAUAAAUCCUAGAGACCCACGUAGCCCAUUCGUGCAAGGCAAGAGGUGGAACUAAAGUUUAGUCCCACAUUGCUAGUUUAGAGGGAGUUGGACCUCUUUAUAAGGGAGGCUCCUUCCCCACUUGUAUGAGCAUGAGAACAAGAGGGACAUCCACGCGCGCUCCUCCUCCGCCGUCCACCUCGCCGCGCCACGCCGCGCCGCGGGUUGCGGGAAUGAGCCGAGCCGAUGUAAAAUUUUGCCACGCACUACGGGUAUACGAAAGGGGACGCGAAAGCUGAAACGUUUUGAUGUAGUGGAUAUUGAAUACGAACGGCGCACCUCUUCGCCUGCUGCCUGUUCGUUUCGUCUCCCUCGUUCUCUUCAGCUCCCAGCGCAGCCUCUCGCCUCCUUCUCUUGCGCCUAUAAAAGGGAGGUCGCUCCUCCCAGAGAGACGCACCAGAAUCUCUUCCUCCUCUCGCCACAAGUUCCUGAGCACUGCGCCGCUGCUACGUUCUUCCCCAUCCCGGCUUGCGGCGUGCACCGCAGGUCAGAACAGUAGGCCUCCGAAACCGCACCUUUUGAGUCAUGUACAGAGAAGGGUGAUAAGGUUUUUGGGGAGCGCUCUGCGCGACUACUGACUUCUUCGUCACGGACGCCCCGGACUCCGACGACUACUUCCCCGACGACGACUACUUCCCCGACGUCGACUACCUCCUCGACGACAUGGAGGACACCGACCCCAAGUCCAGUGCCUCUGCCCCGGCUGUUGUCCAGUACGUGUUCUUAUCUUUCUUGUUAGAAGUCCUGCAAUAGUUUCUUCUUCCAAUGUUUGCAGUAGACAUGUUACGCUCUACUUCAUAUAUGCAUCUUCACCCACUGUCUGCGCUAGAGUUGAUCGGUUCUAGCUCAUAUAUGCAGAUAUUAUUUACUUUCUCUUUUUCAAAUCACAUGGCUUGUUUUAUCACUAUUAUACUAGUCAUGCUUUAUCUAGUAUUUCUGUUAAUAAAAUCAUUCGGUAAAUUGCUCAUAUUUCCAACAAAAAGCACCUUAAGGAUCUAAAUUGGAGUUUAUCAGCACGAGACCAGCUUUAUCUCCGAAAAAGAAAAUCUAGCUUUUGAAAGCUGUAAAUUGAAAGCUAACAUAAUGUCAGGUGUCGAAAGUAAAAUGGAAUAUAAAACAAGUAUAUACAGUAAAAUAAAUCACUGUUGGGGCGCCUGUGCCCUCGCCAAUGAGGCCAUGGCCACCCUCCAUUUCGUAUGAUAUCGGUCACCGAGAAAUGCACUGAUACAGGCUUUCACAUGGCUCUACUAUGCAACGUUUUACAGGGCAAUGUACGUGCAUGCAUAGAGCAUAUGCUCCACCGACGCCCCGUUUACGACGCCCCGUUUACGCACACACUGACUGAAGCUGUGAAGCAGUGGAACCCCGGAGCGACCAACCGGGAAACCUCCCCCGCGUGCCUAUCCUCUCCAUCACAUGCGGUCACAAGCAUCCAACACCCCAUCGUCUAUAUAAGCAGCGGUAUGGAGCACCAUUCUUCUCAGAACCACACUCAGCUAAGAGAGCCAGUAGCAGGGAGUGUAGUGAGAGUAGAGUGAGCGAGAAUGGGUGGCAAAGCCGCUCUCCUGGUGGCCCUCCUGGCCGUGAGCCUGGUCCUCGAGGCCCAGGCGGGCAGCGGCUACGGCGGCGGGCACGCCCCCACCCCGACGCCGGUCGCCCCACCCCCCAAGCACGAGAAGCCACCCAAGGGGCACAAGCCCCCUCACCACCACCACCACGCCAAACCACCGGCCGCCUCCCACGGGCCGCCGACGCACGCUCCGGCGCCACCCACCUACAGUCCCCCGACGCCUAAACCUACCCCUCCGGCCCCUAAACCCACACCACCCACCUACGCCCCGAUCCCGAAGCCGCCGAAGCCAUCUCCCUCGCCUCCGGCGUACCACCCUACGCCCAAGCCUGCACCUCCCACNNNNNNNNNNNNNNNNNNNNNNNNNNNNNNNNNNNNNNNNNNNNNNNNNNNNNNNNNNNNNNNNNNNNNNNNNNNNNNNNNNNNNNNNNNNNNNNNNNNNNNNNNNNNNNNNNNNNNNNNNNNNNNNNNNNNNNNNNNNNNNNNNNNNNNNNNNNNNNNNNNNNNNNNNNNNNNNNNNNNNNNNNNNNNNNNNNNNNNNAUACAAGCCCCCGACGCCUACUCCUCCGGCGUACAAGCCCCCCACCCCGAGCCCCCCGCCUCCGCCGUACCACCACUAAGAAGAUCCACCACUCUGUCAAGCUGGGAGCCCAGGUACGUGCAAACAACAUCAGUCUACAUUCUUGCAUGGACGCACCAUUUGUUCGAAUAGCACCAACUAACUCAGAGAACGUUUUUGUUUGCAGAAUGCGGUCGAGAAGAGUUGUGCGAGCAGGCCAAGAAGAGCCACGUACGGCGUCGUUGAUCCUCCUCCGGUGUGUGUUGCUGCCGAACUAGGGCCGAUCUCUCAGGAGAUGGAAUAAUGCAGAUGGCUCCCAUUAGUUUAUCUUACCAGCUUAUCAUUUGUGUUCGUCCAGUGUUAGCGUCUGUGUUGCUAGUGUGGCAAUGUGCCCGUGUCACUGUAAAACCAUUGAUCACCACGGAAAUGGAAGUAAAAGGUGUUGUUUCCUGUUGCAUGUAACGUGAUCGCGUCUCUGUUUUGCUGCUCUUCU